ACUUGGCUGGCUUAGUCAGUAGAGCAUGUGAUUCUUGAUCUCAGGAUUCUGAGUUCAAGCCCCAGUUUGAGUA
rnacentral:tRNA from 1 species